rnacentral:siRNA from 1 species
UCGUUGAUGAUGAUCAUUAGGUA